GACGAACGCUGGCGGUGUGCCUAAUACAUGCAAGUUGAGCGCUGAAGGUUGGUACUUGUACCAACUGGAUGAGCAGCGAACGGGUGAGUAACGCGUGGGGAAUCUGCCUUUGAGCGGGGGACAACAUUUGGAAACGAAUGCUAAUACCGCAUAAAAACUUUAAACACAAGUUUUAAGUUUGAAAGAUGCAAUUGCAUCACUCAAAGAUGAUCCCGCGUUGUAUUAGCUAGUUGGUGAGGUAAAGGCUCACCAAGGCGAUGAUACAUAGCCGACCUGAGAGGGUGAUCGGCCACAUUGGGACUGAGACACGGCCCAAACUCCUACGGGAGGCAGCAGUAGGGAAUCUUCGGCAAUGGACGAAAGUCUGACCGAGCAACGCCGCGUGAGUGAAGAAGGGUUUCGGAUCGUAAAACUCUGUUGGUAGAGAAGAACGUUGGUGAGAGUGGAAAGCUCAUCAAGUGACGGUAACUACCCAGAAAGGGACGGCUAACUACGUG
rnacentral:rRNA from 1 species